UAGGAAAGGCAGGAAGAGCAUCCCCGGGAGAGGGGACGAUAUGUGAGAAGGCAGAGGACUGGGAUGGGUCGUUGUGGUCAGCGUGGCCACCAGUAGGUGAGGCCACCUAGGGCUUUCGUGUGCCAGCCUCUGAGAGCUGUUCUUUUGCCCUAAAGGGGACAAGGAGCCACUAGAGGUUUCUAGCGUGGAAAUAACACCAUCAUCUUUGUUUAGAGAAGCUGGAUCUGUCAGCAGAGGGGCAGAUAGACUGGGGCACUGAAACGCUGGUGCCGGUUUCGGCACUGGUUCUCAAAGGGAGAAGACGGGCCUCGGGACCAGGCGGAGGAAAGAUGGGGGAGACGUCUCAGGGGUGAGAGGAACUGCAUUUGGUGACACGCUACAGCAGGCCUGACCUGGAAGCAAGCGGGAUGGGGACACCAAUGACCAAGAAAGAAGGUUAGCGGAAUGAAAUAAACUCUCUGGGCAAGAUAUUGAUUCACAUUUUUCAAGUGCUGACGCCCGCUCCGGCCGCAGAGCUGAGGACUUCUUGAUGGAGCCAUUAACAAGAGGGUUCCCUCCUGAGGGCCGACGACAGCCUGUGGCUGGGGGACCCCGCUACAAGCAUGGAGGCUUUCCCCAGUCUGAUUUUCACGUCAAAGGCACUACGCUGGGAGGGAUCUCCAUGGCUGCUUUCCCCUCUGGUGAAGUCCAGCCACUGCCCAAGUACCUAGGCCACUUUGUAGAUCCAAGUGUGAUCCAGGGACCAGUGGUUUGGGCACCGGCUGGAAGCAGUCAGAAAUGCAGACUCCCAGGCCCCACUUCCGGCCUCCUGACCAGGAAUCUGCACUGUCACAAGAUUCCCAGAAUGAACUUUUAUCUUCAGGAGCUGUAUCUUCGCACUGCGAUAACUGAUGGCCACUGACUACACUGACUGCUACUAUACUUUCCUCCAUAUAAAUGUGGUAAGUUUUCAUCAGGAAGGUACCACUGAUGCUCCUUCCUGACAGGGGAAGGGGUUAGUCUAGAGCCGGAACACCCUGCCAUCCUUCUUCUUCUUGUUUUUUUUAACCACUGAAAAAGUUCUCACCAGAAUAUCCCCUGGCAUACAGGAAAGAUAAAAAGACACGAAGCAAACAAAGUAAGUCCUUCCCACGUGGGAUUUUUCAAACCUUGGUCAAGACGGAUAAGGGAAAGCUGCAUGGUGACGGCAUAACCCAGCCCAUUUCCACAACCCUGGAAGGUCUCACCAGGAAAGGCAGGAAAAGAGAAGCCGUAGAGAAAACAGCUGAGAAUUACUUUCAGAGUCUAAUGACUUCCGAUCUGAGUUACUCCAUUAGAUCCCACAGGGGGGAUCACUGAAUGAGAUGAUUUUACUUCCUUAUUUAAAAAAAAAUUUUUUUUUUAAUGUUUAUUUAUUUUUGAAAGAGAGAGAGAGAGAGAGAGAGACAGAGCACAGGCAGGGGAGGGGCAGAGAGAGAGAGGGAGACACAGAAUCCGAAGCAGGCUCCAGGCUCUGAGCCGUCAGCACAGAGCCCGACGCGGGGCUCAAACCCACGAACAGCGAGAUCGUGACCUGAGCCAAAGCUGGAUGCUUAACCGACUGGUACCAUUACUUACUGGGGCUGGGAGCCAUCUCUUAUCAUCCCAGGCCCUCAGCCCUCCCUUUCGAUCCCUCCCCAAAGCUUGCAGAUUCUUCCUUUCCCUCUCUCUGACAUGCCCCACUCUCCCUUACUGUCAGCAUCCUAGUUAAUGCUUCCAUCGAAAUCUAUCGGGCCACGGACAUCUGUGAUCCUCGACGUCAC